UACGUAGGGUGCGAGCGUUGUCCGGAAUUAUUGGGCGUAAAGAGCUCGUAGGCGGUGUGUCACGUCGUUCGUGAAAACCUGCAGCUUAACUGUGGGCGUGCGGUCGAUACGGGCAUCACUGGAGUUCGGCAGGGGAGACUGGAAUUCCUGGUGUAGCGGUGAAAUGCGCAGAUAUCGGGAGGAACACCAGUGGCGAAGGCGGUCUUCUGGGCUGUUUCUGACGCUGAGGCGCGAAAGCGUGGGGAGCGAACAGG
rnacentral:rRNA from 1 species